AGUGAACGCUGGCGGUAGGCCUAACACAUGCAAGUCGAACGGCAGCACAGUAAGAGCUUGCUCUUACGGGUGGCGAGUGGCGGACGGGUGAGGAAUACAUCGGAAUCUACUUUUUCGUGGGGGAUAACGUAGGGAAACUUACGCUAAUACCGCAUACGACCUACGGGUGAAAGCAGGGGAUCUUCGGACCUUGCGCGAUUGAAUGAGCCGAUGUCGGAUUAGCUAGUUGGCGGGGUAAAGGCCCGCCAAGGCGACGAUCCGUAGCUGGUCUGAGAGGAUGAUAAGCCACACUGGAACUGAGACAAGGUCCAGACUCCUACGGGAGGCAGCAGUGGGGAAUAUUGGACAAUGGGCGCAGGCCUGAUCCAGCCAUACCGCGUGGGUGAAGAAGGCCUUCGGGUUGUAAAGCCCUUUUGUUGGGAAAGAAAAGCAGCAGGUUAAUACCCCGCUGUUCUGACGGUACCCAAAGAAUAAGCACCGGCUAACUUCGUG
rnacentral:rRNA from 1 species